UACAGAGGUCUCAAGCGUUGUUCGGAUUCAUUGGGCGUAAAGGGUGCGUAGGCGGCGCGGUAAGUCGGGUGUGAAAUCUUGGAGCUUAACUCCGAAACUGCAUUCGAUACUGCCGUGCUUGAGGACUGGAGAGGAGACUGGAAUUUACGGUGUAGCGGUGAAAUGCGUAGAUAUCGUAAGGAAGACCAGUGGCGGAAGGCGGCUCUCUGGGACGGUACUGACGCUGAGACGCGAAAGCGUGGGGAGCGAACAGG
rnacentral:rRNA from 1 species